rnacentral:lncRNA from 1 species
AGUUGCCUCCCAGGGAAACAGAGAAAAUCUCUGUGGUUACUCCAAAGAUGAAUUACAGAUAAGCUAAAAAGAAGAAGAGGGGAAAGUACAGAGAGGCGUUGCCAAGAAAAUUAAAGUAAGGAUGUCAUUGAGUUGUGUUAUGUAUCACUGGCGAAACUGAAAAGCCCUUGUGAAGCCUCGUGAUGAAUAGACUCACCACAAGCAUGGCACGGAUCCCGUAUAAUUCAGCCCUCCAGAUGCUCAUGGCUCCCCUGGACACUCCCAUUUCUUCAUGGGCUUCGAAAGCUGAGUCCUAAAGUGGUCCUGUGUGAGUAUCCUUUUGGCCCGAUGAGUCUCUGGGAGAAAUCCGAUUUUCUUUGCUUCCAGAUUCCUAUUAGUUACGGUUCUGAUUCUUAACUGACAAAGUGAGGAUGUAGAAACGGGCUACUUUUUUGAUUAAAUGAAUAUACCGGAACUCUGAAUUAUGGAAGACCUCUUGCAAACCUCAGAUGGCUCAUUCGAUUUUCUAGGACUUGAGUUUUUAAAAGUUAAUGUACAAUAGGACCUACUCCAAAGACAAGGCUGAAAUAAAUUAUGGUGGGAUCUCUUCUAAGCCCCACAAGCUAGAACCACUUCUUUAUUUUCCCCAAGACACAUGCCAGAGGACGUCUCACAGUACAGUCCCAUCCGUCCCUGUCAUCUCCUCUGUGCCCUCCUCCGAGUGCCUCAUCCUUAAAGAGGAAGUAAAGGGCCGCUGGGGCCAGCUGGAAAGAGAAGGCACUGAGAUCGAUCGGCAAGUGAAGUUAAAAUGCCACCAUCCAUCCCAGCGCCCCGAUACCGAGGAUGCAGGUAUCCUGCCUGGGAUGCACAGGGCAGCAGAAAGAGAGGAGGCUUUGGCUCUGAACGACAUUGGGCUCUUGUAGGAGUCAGUCCGCACUUGGAGAUCAGAUUCACAGACCUCAACAAUGGGGCCAGCUACGUGAGAGUCUGUCUGUCCUUCAUUGUCUCUCUGAGAUGGCAGAAGAACAGGAUAUAAACUAUGGAAACCCAUUUCAAGCAGGUAGAUUCGCACUGUACUGGGCUCACCCGUGCCCUAGAAACGUGUUUCACUUCAUGUGUAGUCAUGGCUUGACAUGAAUUAAGAGAAGAGAGACAGUUGUGUGUUUAAAUCACAGGUUUGGGGGGUAAAAUCUGGUUCAACAGGCCACCUCUACACAGAUGAGCUGGAAGUUUUAGUGAAUCCUGUUGGAUGCAUGUUUUGGUAUUUUCAGCUACCCAGUAUACCCACGACUCCGGAGGAAAGAGCCAACCAAGGUGGCCCGGCUUGUGUGACUCAAAUCGUCUGUUCCUCUGCCAGAAGCAGAUCAGAUCAAAAUAACCAAGCGAUCCCGGGUAGGCAGAACUAGACCAAGAAGAUAAAGUUCCCUUUCCAUAGAACUGGGAGUCGGGGAGUUGAAGAAACGUGACCAGUUACACCUCUUUAAAGUGUGAUCUCUGAACCGGCAGCAUCUGUGACAGCUGGGAACUUAGUGAGACGUUGAUCCAGUCUCCUGAACCCACUGGGCCGGUAUCUGAAAAGCUCCCUCAGUGAUUCUGUGGAUGUUGAGGUUAGAUCUGGAGGAUGAAUGCAGUGGGAGGGGACAUUUGCAAUGACAGGUUGUACUGGGUUGGUUUCAAGGUACACUAAACACAGGCAAGCGGAGGUUUAAAAGAGACGUAAGUUCAUGGAAUUUGCGCAAGAGUCGAGGACAUCAGAGCAGAACUAAAGAUAGUAUCAGAGACAGGAAGUCCUCAGAGAAGAGGCUGGGGGUGCAGGUCCAGAACCACAGGCUCCUCCCCCAUGCCCACAGGCUCCUCCCACAUGCCAUGUCGGAGUAUUUUAGGUCACCUGUUGGAUAGAUGCCCAGUGAGCUAUGACUUUACAGUCUAAUUCUUUGAGAGAGCUAGAUCUAGUAGGUUUCGGUGCUGAUCUCUACAUUUUAUUGUCAUCAUCUGUUCAUUUGCUUUUCUUUUCUUUUUUUUUAAAGAUUUAUUUAUUUAUUUAUUAUAUGUAAGUACACUGUAGCUGUCCUCAGAUACUCCAGAAGAGGGAGUCAGAUCUCCUUACGGAUGGUUGUGAGCCACCAUGUGGUUGCUGGGAUUUGAACUCCUGACCUUUGGAAGAGCAGUCGGGUGCUCUUACCCACUGAGCCAUCUCACCAGCCCCUCAUUUGCUUUUCAAGACAGGGUUUCUCGGUUAUAGCCCUGACUGUCCUCAAUUUGUAGACCAUGCUGGCUUUGAACUCAGAGAUCCAGCUGCCUCUGCCUCCCAAGGGAGAUGAUUAAUGGCAUUCACCACCAUGCCCAGCUGCUAAUCUCUAUUUUAAUAUAAAAGAAGAAUACAUUUCCUAGUCUAGGAUUUGACCAUCUUUGGAGUCUAGUGCUCAGCUUGGUCAUCUCAGUUUGAAAGGAAUGUUGCUAUACUGAGGCCAGGCCUCCAAAGAACAGCCACCAUCAUAGUCUGGCACUGUGUGAAUGGCCUGAAAACAUCAUCAAAAGAGGACUGCAAAAGAGAAGAUUUUCAGCUACCGUGUCCUGAACCAGGUGAAGCUAUUAGAUAUCCUACAGCCCUGGGGAUUGGAGCUAUGCCAGCGCUGAUGCUUGCUCUGACUCUCUGUAAGGGCAAACAUCCUAACGAUCGCAACUGCUUUUACAGCUGCUUUUAAAACACCACACUCUGGAAAUCAGUUCUCUCCAAUGUCAACACUCCAGGGCAGGCCUGGGACCCAGCAGUAGUUGCACAGCACAAAUGGAUUCCAUUUUUUUCCUCUGUCUUUUAUUUUUUUACUUAUUUAUUUAUCUUAUUGUUUGUUGUUGGUUGGUUGGUUGGGUUUUUGUUUUGUUUUGAUUUUCAUUUUUGGAGGUUUUAUUUAUUUAUUUUUAGAAAGAUAUGUAGAAAGAUACAUGUGAUGUUGGAUGGGUGGGUUGGAUCUAGGAGGGUUUGGGGAGGGGAAAAGUAUGAUCAAAUGCAUUGUUUGAAAUUUUUAAAGGAACAAAAAAGAAUUUAGUUUUUAAAAACCCCACAUUUCCUGCUAUAAGUGAGUUAGAAGGGGAAGCCCAAGGAUUCAUCUUAAAGGUUCUUGUGGGAUGAAUUCCAGGGGCAGAGACAGAUGGCUUUUGGCACAGGCUACUACUUUUUUCACCAACUGCACCAAUUUCAAGGUCAAGAUCAUGAAGAUUCUCUUCUGAUCAUGAGUAACGACCGAAGGCCACAUUUCUGCAUUCAUCUUAUUUUUCUGAGAGCUACGCCAAGUUUUAUGAUGGUCCUUUUGAUCAAGAAAAAUGGCAACACCUUUAUGAAAAUAAAAUGCCUUGUGGGUGCCACAAGACACGUGAAAACAAAAAACAAACAAACAAACAAACAAAAAACCAAAAAACCAAAACCUAUGCUUUGGGAUGAAGCAGGAACAAGACAGGUCCUCAGAGUUUGGUAGAGGAUGCUAAACUGUAACAUAGGAGCACCUUGAAGCCACGUGGUUAAGACUUCUUCCUACCAUUUGUGAUUUUGAUUACUUUAAAAUUUACAGUAUUUGUUAUCACUUCCGGCUUACGACAAACAGAUGUACUUCUGUUCAGAUGCGCUGCCUCUCACAGUGUUAAUCCCAUCAGUUAAAAAGGAGACCAUUGGAGGCAGAGGGAGGAGGAUUUCUGAGUUCUACAAAGAGAGUGCCAGGACAGUCAGGGCUACACAGAGAAAUCCUGUCUCGAAAAAACAAACAAACAACGCCCCCCCCCCCCCAAAAGGAGACCAUUAACUCAAUUUUUGAGCCGAAUUUGAAGCAAACUUUAAUCAAAUACUAACCAGGAUGAUGGACUCUGGUCAGGUCCAUUCUUGAGUCCCCAGAAAAAUGGUGAUGGGUCACAGCUUGCAGAUGUGAAAGGCAAACCACAAGGCCUCCGUAGUUCCCAUCGGAUCCAAUCAGGGGCAAGCAUAUACCUGACGUAUUUCCUGCCUAUGCAUUGCCCACCUUUCAUGUGAUGAAGCUCCUCCAAACAAAUUUGUUUGCUUGUAGUUAUCUCAUACGAACAAUAGCUUCCAGCAUCUCAGAAGUAUCGUCCGUCCUUGGGCAAGGGGCUUUCAGGUUAGAGACCUCUCUGUAUUUAAACAGUAAUUAAAACCUAAAACACCACUUUAAAACUGGAAUGAAGGUUGGUGGGGGUGGGGUCCACAUCAAUGAGAUUAGAGAGCAGAGGAGGGGAGCAAGUCAAAGCAGAAGAGUGUGCGUGCUCCCUCUCCGCUUUCUUCAUUAUCUCAUCUUUAAUUCCUAAUGAAAUAAUUUCUUGUGAGAUUCCCAAGCUCCGAUUUGAAAUGCCCUGUAUCCCUUACUGGCUCCUCUUCCUCAGAGCUCCCGGGGUCUCCUUGCCUUUUUCAUCCGCGUCUGUAACAAAAGUGGUCGAGAGUGUGGCGAACCAGAUUUCACCCUUGGCUCAGUGCAGACUCUACUAAAUUCAGGGGAAAAUCUUGCUUAGAGAAGCCGGUUAUAAUCCAGCCUUGUGUGCUUGCUCCACGGCUGCGGCAUCACUGGCUCAGCAAACCCGGCCCUGGAGAACGUCAGGAAUGUGAGCAAUUCUGCUUGUGUGUCCCAAUGUGCCCAAUAGAAUUCAAGAACAAUUUCCUUUGUGUUCCUUUUGAAAUUGAAAAAAAAAAAUAGAGAAGACAGUAAAUAUCCAUAGAGAAAUAACAUCACCCACGCGUCUACCUUCUAAGGCCUCAGAAGGCUGAGUCCCCUGUCACAGAGGUAUUCUUUCUUACUGUAAAGCUGCCUUAUCAAUGACCCUUUUCCAUUUCAUUAUACUUUUUUACCACUUACACCUGAAUCCAUAAACUGUGAGUGUGUGUGUGUGUGCACACACACGCACUCGCCAUUCACCAUUAUUAUGCUUGAGAGCAGGAUGUCUCAUUGGCUUGAAACUGGCCAAGUAGGCUUUGUAUAAAAUACAUUGUAUGAAAACAAUGUACAAAAAAAAAAAAAAAAAAAAAAAAAAAAGCCGGGUGUGGUGGCACACGCUGUUAAUCCCGGCACUCCACUCGGGAGGCAGAGGCAGGCAGAUUUCUGAGUUCGAGGCCAGCCUGGUCUAUAAAGUGAGUUCCAGGACAGCCAGGUCUAUACAGAGAAACCCUGUUUCGAAAAACCAAAAAAACAAAAAAAACAAUGUAUUUGGACCAUAUCCCAACUCCUCCCCUUAACUCCUCCCACAUAUACUUUCACCUCCCUAGCCCCCUCCCCCAAUCGUUUCAUGUUCUCUUCCCCCUUUCUGUGGUUGGCUGCAUAAAACCUAUACAAGAUCAAGUUAACAUUCUAACAUGGAUUUCCAAAAAGGGGUUCACGAAUCAUUACCCCGAAAGGCUUCUGGAGAAGCAAGAGUCAAUUUUGUUAAGUAUAUGGCUCCUGGGAGGUCAACCACACUCUGCAAAUAUAUGUAUGGAUAAGCACAAACUGAAAUCAGUGGAGUGUUUAACAUUUUAAAAGGGUCACAUAGGGCUUGUUACACCUGGGUUCUGGAGAUCAAACCCAGGUCCUCACGCUUGCAAAGCAAGAACUUUACUGAGUGAGCUAUCUCUUCAGUCAUAUAAACAAUAUAUUACUUAAAUUUCUUUGCUUACAAAAUUUAUAUGAGGGAUCUGGAGAGAUGGCUCAAUGCUUGAGAGCAUUUGUUCUAGAUGAACCUGGUUUGAUUCCCAGCAUCCACAUAACGGCUCACAACUGCCUGUAACUCCAGCCUCAGAGAACCCAGUUCCCUCUUCUCAUGCCUGCAGGCACCAGGCACGCAUGUAGUAUACAGGCAAACAUGCAGGUGAGACACAUAAAUAACUUAACUACAAAAAAAUAUGUAAAAUUUGCUUCAUACCUUUUGUCUUAGUUAGGGUUUUACUAACAGACACCAUGACCAAGGCAACUCUUAUAAGGUCAACAUUUAAUUGGGGCUGGAUUACAGGUUCGGAGGUUUAGUCCAUUAUCAUUAAGGUGGGAACAUGGUAGCAUCCAGGCAGGCAUGGUGCAGGAGGAGCUGAGAGUUCUACAUCUUUAUCUGAAGGUUGCUAGCAGAAUACUGGCUGGCUUCCAGGCAACUAGGAUGAGGGUUUUGAAGCCCACAGCCACAGUGACACACCUACUCCAACAAGGCCACACCUCCUAAUAGUGGCACUCCCUGGGCCGAGCAUAUAUAAACCAUCACACCUUUUUCCCCAGUAAUGGCUUAAAUGGGAAUGGCCACCAUAGGCUCAUAUAGCUUAGUACUUGAUCUUCAGUUGGAGGAACUGUUUGGGAAGGAUUAGGAGGUGUGGUCUUGGUGGAGGUAGUGUGUGGGACAAGCUUUGAGGUUUCAGAAGCAUAAACCAUUCCCAGUCCGUUUUCUCUGCCUUGGGGUUGUUGUCUCAGGAUGUGAGCUCUCAGCUCGUCCCCUAGUACCAGGCCUGUCCACUCCUAUGCUCCUUACCUUGAUGGUCAUGGAGCCUCUUUGAAACCAUGAGCUCCCAUACUAAACUCUUUCAUAAGUUGCUUGGGUCAUGGUGUUUUAUCACAGCAAUAGAAAAAUAACUUAAGACAGCCCAAAGCAAACACUCCUGUUCAUUUUUACAGCUCUAAUUUACGUAUUUUAACCACCUUACAGUAUUCCAUAAUAAAACAUCACAAUUUUACAUUCAUGUGACUGUGGGUAUUUGAGUAGUUUCCAGUCUUUUGCCAUUAAGAACUCUUUCUUUAUCACCCUGAGAAAUACAAGCUGAGUGAAUUUCUCCUCCAAUAGGUCUAUCUAAGAGUAGAAUUUCCAAACUGCAGACUCUCAGUGUUUAGCUGCACUGAAUCAUGCCAAAAUGAUUGAAGCAAUUAACACUCCCAUUAGCAGUGUGUGAAAGCGUCAAUCAUUCCACAUUCUUGAUGGAAAUUGGAUUUGUUGUCACCAAAAUUUCUGCCAAUGGCUGACUGUGACAUAGAAUCAUUUUUGUGGCUCUUCCUUUUCACUGACUACUGGCAUGACUGAUCAUUCUCUCUCUCUCUCUCUCUCUCUCUCUCUCUCUCUCUCUCUCUCUCUCUCUCUCUCGUGUGUGUGUGUGUGUGUGUGUGUGUGUGUGCGUGUGUGUGCGCACGCGCGUUGAUUUGUGUUUCCUCUUUCACACAUUUUUCCAUUUCAUUGUUUCUUACUGACUGUGUAGUGCUUAUGUGUAGUGCUUAUGCUGGUGUUGGUCAAACAUAUUGAAAUUUCAUUUAAAAGCCUACAUCUUAUAUUUUCCCAUCCUCAUGGCAUUCCUUAGAUGAACUACUAACUUCAGUGGCAUGUUGCUAUAUUGCUCUUCUGAGUCUUGAUUAAGAAACCAUUCCUUGAGCCAAGUAUGGUGGUAUAUGCCUAAAAUCUCAGCACUCGGGGGCAGAUGCAAGACGAUCAUAAAUUUAGCCUAACCUGGCCUAUAUAGUGAGUUCCAGGCCAGUCAGGGUCACACAAUAAGACUGUCAAAAACAAACAAAUAAAAUAAGCAACAACAAAACCAUAGUGUCAAACUGCCGUCUAAAUGCUUACACCCAAGGAUCAGUGCUACUCUCUUCUUGCUCCUUCUUGCUCCAUGAUUGGUCAAAGUGUAGAAAAUAAAUAACUGUGGGGUGCUUAGUAAAAACAGGGACAGUGUCUACUGCCUGGAAAGCUUAGAAAACAUCCAGGAGAGGGUAUAAAGAAUGUAAGAGCUGGAGGUCAAGGAGAACACAUGUGAGCCCAGUGUGGUGUCCUCUGGAUGUGGCUCUUGCAAACUCAGCACAGGGGUGGUUACCUGCACAAUAGCCCCGCCCUCACUGAGAGAGCAUGCGCAGUAGCAACUGAGAAGUUGCCCCUCUCCAGGAGAUGAAUCAUACUCACAAAAGCAGCCGUAAUUUAAUUCAGUGAGUUACAAAAAAAGGAAGAAAAAAAAAAAAAAAGACAUCCAAGGUUACUAAAAUGUACUACAAUAAACUUUUUCUCCUCAAUGUUUGAUGAUUUUUGCCUUAAAAACUUAAGUUUACACUCUAUUUUAGAUGUGUAUGUGUGUAUAAUAGAAGGCAGGGAUGUCUUUCCUUUUGUUUCUGAUUGGAUAACCAGUUUUCUUGGUGGCAUUUAGUAACUAAGAGUCCUUCCCUCCCCACUCGCUUUCACUGGCCUAGGGGCAGAGCUUUCUAUUGAUCUAUUUCUUCUUAAGUAAUACAGUACUGAGUUACUUCUGCUCUGUAAGAAUCUCUGGCAACUGAUAAAUAACAUCUUCCUAUUUAGUUCUUUUUCACACAGACGAAAAUUCACAUUUUUAUGUCACUUUACAUGCAUUUACAAUUUCCACACAUUAACCAUUUGUUCAGUUUUUGUUAUACUUUCACUAUUCUGUCUGAAAUGAACUUCUAAGCUAAAUAGUUCUCUUCGAUAUUUCAUUAGCGAAUGUGGUGGUUUGAAUAUGCUUGCCCCAGGGAGUGGCACUAUUUGGAGGUGUGGCCUUGCUGGAGUAGGUGUGGCCUUGUUGGUGUAGGUGUGUCACUGUGGGGGUGGGCUUGAAGUUUCAAUGCAGAAGAGUUUUCUUCUAGCAGCCUUCAGAUGAAGCUGUAGAACUCUCAGCCCCUUCUGUACCAUGACUGCCUGGAUACUGCCCUGCUCCCGCCUUCAUGAUAAUGGACUGAACUUCUGAACCUGUAAGCCAGCACCCAUUAAAUGUUGUCCUCGUAAGAGUUGCCUUGGUCAUGGUGUCUCUUCACAGCAAUGCAACCCUAACUAAGACAGUGAAGGUGUUCUUAUUUCCAAUUCUUCCGAUUUUUUUCUAUGUAACCUUUCCUCCUGAGCAAUGCUUUGCUGAAUAUAGAAUUCAGUGUAGUUAAUGUGCUACUCUGUUGGGAGCCAUUAAGGCAACGCUAUUGUCCUGAUCUCUGAAUUGGGCCUCUCCCCCUGAGAAGAAAAGAGGGUCAAAGGCGGGCCACCGACACAUGGAUUCCGAGAACUACGGGAUGUUUCAGCCCUGGGUCAUCACUGCUCUCCUGACCACACCCUGACACCACCAAGAUCCUGCUUCCCCAUGUAACUGCCUAAGAAUGUGCAAUUCUAUUGCCCCCCCCUCCCACUGAUAAAUACUUCUCCUUUUGCUUGUAUUGCCCUACCCCUCCCACUGAUAAGUAUCUGUACUUCCCCCUUUGCUUGUGCAU